rnacentral:tRNA from 1 species
GCUUUGAUAGCUCAGUUGGGAGAGCGUCAGACUGAAGAUCUGAAGGUCCCUGGUUCGAUCCGGGUCAAAGCA